rnacentral:rRNA from 1 species
ACGGCUCAGUAACACGUAGCUAACCUGCCCUUAAGUCGAGGAUAACCUCGGGAAACUGAGACUAGAACUCGAUAGAAGACAUACCCUGGAAAGAUUUGUCUUUGAAAUUCGUGCUUAAGGAUGGGGCUGCGGCGGAUUAGGUAGUUGGCGGGGUAAUAGCCCACCAAGCCUUUGAUCCGUAAGGGCUCUUAGCGGAGAGGCCCUGAGAGGGAAUCUGAGACACUAUUCCCAGCCCUACGGGGUGCAGCAGUUAGGAAUCAUUUGCAAUGCGCGAAAGCGUGACAAUUUGAACCAGAGUGCUUUUCAUUUGAAAAGCUUUUGCCAAAUGUAAAAAGUUUGGCGAAUAAGGACUGGGUAAGACGGGUGCCAGCCGCCGCGGUAAUACCCGCGGUCCAAGUCGCAGCCAUCUUUAUUGGGUCUAAAACAUCCGUAGCUUGCCUGAUAAGUUCCUUGUGAAAUCUUAUCUCUUAAGGAUAAGGCGUGCAAGGAGUACUGCCAGGCUAGAGACCGGAAGGCGUAGGAAGUACGUUCGAAGUAGCGGUAAAAUGUGUUAAUCUUGAGCAGACUCACAACAGCGAAGGCAUCUUACGAGGACAGUUCUGACAGUAAAGGAUGAAGGCUAGGGGCGCGAAGUGGAUUAGAUACCCAUGUAGUCCUAGCAGUAAACACUGCGCACUAAACAUUAGUACCUCCUCGAGAGGUAUUGGUGCUGAAGAGAAGUCGAAGAGUGCGCUACCUGGGAAGUAUAGCCGCAAGGCCGAAACUUAAAGGAAUUGGCGGGGGAGCAC